UAGGUAAUCUUCCGCAAUGGGCGAAAGCCUGACGGAGCAACGCCGCGUGAAUGAUGAAGGUCUUCGGAUCGUAAAACUCUGUUAUUAGGGAAGAACAAAUGUGUAAGUAACUAUGCACGUCUUGACGGUACCUAAUCAGAAAGCCACGGCUAACUACGUGCCAGCAGCCGCGGUAAUACGUAGGUGGCAAGCGUUAUCCGGAAUUAUUGGGCGUAAAGCGCGCGUAGGCGGUUUUUUAAGUCUGAUGUGAAAGCCCACGGCUCAACAGUGGAGGGUCAGUGGAAACUGGAAAACUUGAGUGCAGAAGAGGAAAGUGGUAUUCCAUGUGUAGCGGUGAAAUGCGCAGAGAUAUGGAGGAACACCAGUGGCGAAGGCGACUUUCUGGUCUGUAACUGACGCUGAUGUGCGAAAGCGUGGGGAUCAAACAGG
rnacentral:rRNA from 1 species